UCCGAGUUGACCCCGGCAGUCUCCCAUGAGUCCCCGGCAUUAUCCGCUGGCAACAUGGAACGAGGGUUGCGCUCGUUGCGGGACUUAACCCAACAUCUCACGACACGAGCUGACGACAACCAUGCACCACCUGUGCACGGCCCUUACGGACCCCACAUCUCUGCGGGAUUUCCGUGCAUGUCAAGCCUAGGUAAGGUUCUUCGCGUUGCAUCGAAUUAAUCCACAUCAUCCACCGCUUGUGCGGGUCCCCGUCAAUUCCUUUGAGUUUUAAUCUUGCGACCGUACUCCCCAGGCGGUGUGCUUAUCGCGUUGGCUAAGGCGCGCACUCAAUUAAGAGCACACACCGAGCACACAUCGUUUACAGCGUGGACUAC
rnacentral:misc_RNA from 1 species